AUUGAACGCUGGCGGCAGGCUUAACACAUGCAAGUCGAGCGAGCGGCGGACGGGUGAGUAAUGUCUGGGAAACUGCCUGAUGGAGGGGGAUAACUACUGGAAACGGUAGCUAAUACCGCAUACAAUCAGAUGUGCCCAGAGUGGAUUAGCUAGUGGGUGGGGUAAUGGCUCACCUAGGCGAAGAUCCCUAGCUGGUCUGAGAGGAUGACCAGCCACACGUGAACUGAGACACGGUCCAGACUCCGACGGGAGGCAGCAGUGGGGAAUAUUGGACAAUGGGCGCAAGCCUGAUGCAGCCACGCCGCGUGUGUGAAGAAGGCCUUCGGGUUGUAAAGCACUUUCAGCGAGGAGGCGUUACUCGCAGAGGAAGCAACGGCUAACUCCGUGCCAGCAGCCGCGGUAAUUC
rnacentral:rRNA from 1 species